UACGUAGGGGGCAAGCGUUGUCCGGAAUCAUUGGGCGUAAAGAGCGUGUAGGCGGUUCGGUAAGUCGGCUGUGAAAGUCCAGGGCUCAACCCUGGGAUGCCGGUCGAUACUGCCGGACUAGAGUUCGGAAGAGGCGAGUGGGAUUCCCGGUGUAGCGGUGAAAUGCGCAGAUAUCGGGAGGAACACCUAUGGCGAAGGCAGCUCGCUGGGACGUUACUGACGCUGAGACGCGAAAGCGUGGGGAGCAAACAGG
rnacentral:rRNA from 1 species